rnacentral:rRNA from 1 species
UACGGAGGGGGCUAGCGUUGUUCGGAAUUACUGGGCGUAAAGCGCACGUAGGCGGCUUUGUAAGUUAGAGGUGAAAGCCCGGGGCUCAACCCCGGGUCGGCCGUGCGGACUGGCGUGCUCGAGCACUGUAGGGGCGGGUGGAAUUCCGGGUGUAGCGGUGGAAUGCGUAGAGAUCCGGAAGAACACCGGUGGCGAAGGCGGCCCGCUGGGCAGGAAGGCUCGCAAGAGCCGGCUGACGCUGAGGCGCGACAGCGUGGGGAGCAAACAGG